rnacentral:rRNA from 1 species
GACGAACCGCGCGAACGUUGUUCGGAAUCACUGGGCUUAAAGGGCGCGUAGGCGGGCUGUCAAGUCUGGGGUGAAAUCCCACGGCUCAACCGUGGAACUGCCUCAGAUACUGACGGCUUCGAGGGAGGUAGGGGCGAGCGGAACGGGUGGUGGAGCGGUGAAAUGCGUUGAUAUCACUCGGAACUCCGGUGGCGAAAGCGGGUCGCUGGACCUUUUCUGACGCUGAGGCGCGAAUGCUAGGGGAGCAAACGGG